CCCUGCGUGCGUCAGCGCGUGGCUGCGCGGCUUGCGGCGGAGCGGCCAGUGGCCGGUGCGCCAGCCACUGGUGGCUAGCGCCCAGAGCUGCAGCGACCUUGCAUCUUCCCCUGUUCGGCUAUUCCCUAGGUGAUCCAAAUUCCAAAACUGAAUUUGUUCAUUGUAUCUUCCCCUGUUUGGCUGUUCCCCGGGCGAAAAUUUUGUCGUACAACUCCGUUCGUAGGUCAUAUUCCGGGCUGGCUUUGCCCCUGGUUGCCAGCACCGUGGCUGGAGCUCAUCUCCGUCAAGCAGCGGAGCACCCUUGAUUUGUUCAGCUCAGAGUGGUAGACUGCAACAACAGCAAGUGUACCUUAUGAUUUGGUGCUGAUGGAUAGAUCUUGGAUCAAGAGUAGGAUGUUCAACAGGGAACACAUGGAUGGGGUGAAUGAAUUCAUGACAUUUGUUUCUGAGAGAUUCAAUGAUGAUGAAGAGAUACUCUGUCCAUGCCGUCGGUGUUUGAAUCAGGUUCACAAACCUAAAGGACAGGUAGAGGAUCACUUAUAUAUUCAUGGGAUGGCUACUACUUACACUACAUGGGUACAUCAUGGAGAACCGUUGAAGGUUGUACCACAUGAAAUUGGUGACCAUGUUGAUGAACAUACUAGUAUCAAUGAGGAUUUCAGCAUGAAUGUGGAUGAAGAAGAUGACCCUGACGAUGGACUUCAGGGUAUGGUACGGGAGUUGUACUCAGCCGAGGAGGAAGGUAAAGAGAAGACAUCAAUGUUUGCAAUUCUUUUGGAAGAGAUGAAGCAAGAGUUGUACCCUGGUGGUAUAUGCACAAGGUUUUCUUUUGUGGUGAAGUUACUUCAUAUCAAGUCAUUUUACCGAAUUUCUAAUGUUGCGUUUACGGCGCUACUGAAGUUGUUGUCAUCAGCAUUCCCAAAUUGCUCUAUUCCAGCAACAUAUGAGGAAGCAAAGAGACUUAUCCAUGCAUUGGGGCUCGGAUACAAUUCAAUCCAUGUGUGCCCGAAUAAUUGUGUUCUGUUUCGGAAGAACUUGGAGAAAAAUGAUGUUUGUCCAGUUUGUGGUGCAUCAAGAUGGAAAGACAAUGGUGGGAGAAAGAAGAUUCCUGAGAAGGUUUUGCGACAUUUUCCAUUGAUCCCUAGGCUGAAGAGAAUCUUUUCUUCCAAAAGAACCUCAGAGGAGGUGCAAUGGCACAAAUUGAAGAGAAAGGCAGUGGAGAAUGAGCUUAGCCAUCCAGCUGAUGGCGAGGCAUGGAAAGACUAUGAUAGAAAGUAUGGGUGGUUUGCAAAAGAUGCAAGGAACAUCAGACUUGGCCUUGCUACCGAUGGUUUCAAUCCAUUUGGUAAAAUGAGCUCCUCAUACAGUAUGUGGCCAGUGUUUGUUAUCCCGUAGACCCGUACAACUUUCCUCCAUGGGUAUGUGUAGAGCAAUCAAACUUUAUCAUGGGCCUGCUUAUUCCUGUUCGAGAAUCCCCAGGAAAGGACAUUGAUGUCUUCUUGGAGCCACUUGUUGAGGAGUUGCUAGAGCCUCUGUGCAAGUACAGAGGCUCCAGUGAAUGAAUAUGAGAUGCAGAGAAUGGAAACAAUGAUACGGAACAGUAGGGUGUUCCGCAGUCUUGGAAUACAAGAGGCAACGGAUAUUCUAAAAAAAUCAAGAGCAAAGGUCACUGAUGCUAUCCGUGAAGACUCUGGCUCAUUGUAUCAACCUGGAGAUUGUGAAGACAUUGAACAAGGAGAAUUUGAUAAGGACUUGGAGCCUGAAGUUACCAUGAGUUCGGCCAGAGUAACAGGAACAAAGAGAGUGAUGGCAGUGGCAUUUCAGAAGCAAGACCAACCUGCAAGAAUUACUAGGCAGAGGACAAGGGAGUUGGUCUCAGCUCGUGAAGAUACAACAGACCCACAAGAUGGUUUCUCAGAGGAUGGGUUGAUGGCUGCCAAUGCUAAUACAUAGGCCAACAACCAGAAUGAGUUGUCUACUGA